UGNCCNCCUAUUUUCAGUUGGUUUUGGCAGCGCGAGGACUAGGGUAAUGAUUAAUAGGGAUAGUUGGGGGCAUUAAUAUUUAAUUGUCAGAGGUGAAAUUCUUGGAUUUAUGAAAGAUUAACUUCUGCGAAAGCAUCUGCCAAGGAUGUUUUCAUUAAUCAAGAACGAAAGUUAGGGGAUCGAAGACGAUCAGAUACCGUCGUAGUCUUAACCAUAAACGAUGCCGACCAGCGAUUAGGAGACGUUGAAUACAAAACACCACCAUCGGUUGCGGUCAUCCUUGGCGUCU
rnacentral:rRNA from 1 species